rnacentral:snRNA from 1 species
UAUUAUUACAACUCCCUUUACAAUUUGUCUAGGAAGGGUUUUCUGGUCUUUAUCAGAAAGCCUCC